ensembl:lncRNA
GGAGACAGCGUGUUGGGUCAGACCUAGAGCGGAGGGACGUGUUGGGCCAGACCUAGAGCGGAGGGACAGUGUGUUGGGCCAGACCUAGAGUGGAGGGACAGUGUGUUGGGCCAGACCUAGAGCAGAGGGACAACGUGUUGGGCCAGACCUAGAGCGGAGGGACAGCGUUUUGGUACAGACCUAGAGCGGAGGGACAGCGUGUUGGGCCAGACCUAGAGCGGAGGGACAGCGUGUUGGGCCAGUCCUAGAGCGGAGGGACAGCGUGCUGGGCCAGACCUAGAGCAGAGGGACAUGUUGGGCCAGACCUAGAGCGGAGGGAGAGUGUGUUGGGCCAGACCUAGAGCGGAGGGACAUGUUGGGCCAGACCUAGAGCGGAGGGACAGUGUGUUGUGCCAGACCUAGAGGGGAGAGACAGCGUGUUGGGCCAGACCUAGAGCGGAGGGACGUGUUGGGCCAGACCUAGAGCGGAGGGACAGUGUGUUGGGCCAGACGAGAAGCGGAGGGACAGCGUGUUGGGCCAGACCUAGAGCGGAGGGACAGCGUUUUGGGCCACUCCUAGAGCGGAGGGACAGCGUGUUGGGCCAGACCUAGAGUGGAGGGACAGUGUGUUGGGCCAGACCUAGAGGGGAGGGACAGCGUGUUGGGCCAGACCUAGAGCGGAGGGACAGUGUGUUGGGCCAGACCUAGAGCGGAGGGACAGUGUGUUGGGCCAGACCUAGAGCGGAGGGACAGUGUGUUGGGCCAGACCUAGAGCGGAGG